GAGCAACGGGUGAGCAACAGUCUGAGUGAAAACCUUCACAUUUCUACUUCGAUCUUAAGAAAGCCAUACAGGUUUGGAACCAAGUGAAAGUGGUGACCAUAGACCUGCAUUAUAUGACUGACAGACAAGAAUAGUUUGACCUAAAAAAUUGAAACUACUGCGGAAACAAAGACACCUACAUCUUGGACGUCCUUAAGGUAAGCUAAAACAUGCCAAAAUUUAAUUUCAAAGUGAACUAUCCCUUUAA